CCACACAUGGGAGGUGAAAGAAUCCCAAAAGAGCAACCGCGAGUUUGCCACAGGCUGGGAGCACAUUCUUUUCAAGGGUCACAGAAUGCUGAGGCUUGUAGUAGCUUCAGGAAAAAUGACCUCUGACACCUGGUGGUUUGGACGGAUUAAGGCAUUAGGAACAAAACCGAAGGCAACUGGAUCUUGUGGAUGCGCAUGAACUCCCUCCUGUUGCAGACUGCACACUUCUUCAAGGGAGGCCAUUGGCUGGGCCCAGCCUUGACUUCAUGGUUGCGCCAUCUGCCAAGAGUAUUGCAACUGUUGGCAGGGAGACCAGGGCCUCUCCUUGUCUCAGGGUGAGACAAUUAACCGGAAGGAAGAAGGAAGGCACGGGACGUGAGGAAAACUGUCUGAGAGAAGUGGAGGGAGCAAGAGAUUUGGAGACGAUUAGCUGUUGCUUCCUUUUCUGCGGCUGAGGUGUUCUUCCUGCCACCCUCAUGGCACACUGACUCACUGGCGUGUGGCUGUUUGAGGGACUUGCUGUAAAAAGCAGCUCAGGAGCUUUGAAAGCUGGCAACAACAGUGACAUUACGUGAGUGGUCCUAACAGUGAUUCAGAAUUCAAACCUACUUCAUCAUUCCUGAAGCCUGUGGUUGGGCAAAUUCAUUUAUUGCAUGGACGGACCAAAGGCCUCUGAGCAGACUUUUCAACAUCUGACAUUUCCUUCCUAUUUCCUUUUCUCCUAAGCAAAAUUCCCUUUAUUUUUACCACCCACUAGAAGGGAGAAUUGAAAUUAGGUCCUUUUAUUUAAUAGCUUGCCAAACAAUAAACAGCUCUCUCAAACUAA